rnacentral:rRNA from 1 species
GAUCCUGGCUCAGGAUGAACGCUAGCUACAGGCUUAACACAUGCAAGUCGAGGGGCAGCAUGUUGGUUGCUUGCAACCAACGAUGGCGACCGGCGCACGGGUGAGUAACGCGUAUCCAACCUACCCUUGUCCAUCGGAUAACCCGUCGAAAGGCGGCCUAACACGAUAUGCGGUUCUCAGCAGGCGAUCUAACGAGAACGAAAUAAUAAAGAAAGGAAAGGGAAGUAGGGGAGGUGCGGUC